rnacentral:tRNA from 1 species
UGGCUCAGUGGUAGAGCGCUUGCCUUGCAUGCAUGAGGCCCUGAGUUCCAUUCCUCAG